rnacentral:rRNA from 1 species
UACAGAGGUCUCAAGCGUUGUUCGGAUUUACUGGGCGUAAAGGGUGCGUAGGCGGCGCGGUAAGUCGGGUGUGAAAUCUCGGAGCUUAACUCCGAAACUGCAUUCGAUACUGCCGUGCUUGAGGACUGGAGAGGAGACUGGAAUUUACGGUGUAGCGGUGAAAUGCGUAGAUAUCGUAAGGAAGACCAGUGGAGCGGAGGCCGGUCUCGUGAACAGGUUCCUGACGCUGGAGGCACGAAGGUCCAG